GCCAGGCGUGGUGGCGAGCGCCUGUAAUUCCAGCUACUUGGGAGGCUGGGGCAGGAGAAUCGCUUGAACCCAGGAGGCAGGGGUUGCAGCGAGCCAAGAUAGCACCACUGCACUCCAGCCUGGGUGACAGAGCGAGACUCUGUCUCAA
rnacentral:SRP_RNA from 1 species